UACGUAGGGGGCGGGCGUUAAUCGGAAUUACUGGGCGUAAAGCGUGCGCAGGCGGCUCCUUAAGUCAGAUGUGAAAUCCCCGGGCUUAACCUGGGAACUGCGUUUGAAACUGGAGAGCUGGAGUGUGGAAGAGGGGGGUGGAAUUCCAGGUGUAGCAGUGAAAUGCGUGGAGAUCUGGAGGAACACCGAUGGCGAAGGCAGCCCCCUGGGCUAACCCUGACGCUCAUGCACGAAAGCGUGGGUAGCAAACAGG
rnacentral:rRNA from 1 species